ACUCCUACGGGAGGCAGCAGUGGGGAAUAUUGCACAAUGGGCGCAAGCCUGAUGCAGCCAUGCCGCGUGUGUGAAGAAGGCCUUCGGGUUGUAAAGCACUUUCAGUCGUGAGGAAGGUAGUGUAGUUAAUAGCUGCAUUAUUUGACGUUAGCGACAGAAGAAGCACCGGCUAACUCCGUGCCAGCAGCCGCGGUAAUACGGAGGGUGCGAGCGUUAAUCGGAAUUACUGGGCGUAAAGCGCAUGCAGGUGGUUUGUUAAGUCAGAUGUGAAAGCCCGGGGCUCAACCUCGGAAUAGCAUUUGAAACUGGCAGACUAGAGUACUGUAGAGGGGGUAGAAUUUCAGGUGUAGCGGUGAAAUGCGUAGAGAUCUGAAGGAAUACCGGUGGCGAAGGCGGCCCCCUGGACAGAUACUGACACUCAGAUGCGAAAGCGUGGGGAGCAAACAGGAUUAGAUACCCUGGUAGGAUAGCG
rnacentral:rRNA from 1 species